AACGAACGCUGGCGGCAUGCCUAACACAUGCAAGUCGAACGAGACCUUCGGGUCUAGUGGCGCACGGGUGCGUAACGCGUGGGAACCUGCCCUUAGGUUCUGAAUAACUCCCCGAAAGGGGUGCUAAUACCGGAUAAUGUCUUCGGACCAAAGAUUUAUCGCCUUUGGAUGGGCCCGCGUUGGAUUAGCUAGUUGGUAGGGUAAAAGCCUACCAAGGCGACGAUCCAUAGCUGGUCUGAGAGGAUGAUCAGCCACACUGGGACUGAGACACGGCCCAGACUCCUACGGGAGGCAGCAGUGGGGAAUAUUGGACAAUGGGCGAAAGCCUGAUCCAGCAAUGCCGCGUGAGUGAUGAAGGCCUUAGGGCUGUAAAGCUCUUUUACCCGGGAUGAUAAUGACAGUACCGGGAGAAUAAGCUCCGGCUAACUCCGUG
rnacentral:rRNA from 1 species